rnacentral:rRNA from 1 species
UACGGGGGGAGCAAGCGUUGUUCGGAUUUACUGGGCGUAAAGGGCGCGGUAGGCGGUCGUGACAAGUCACUUGUGAAAUCUCCGGGCUUAACUCGGAACGGUCAAGUGAUACUGUCGGACUAGAGUACAGAAGGGGCAACUGGAAUUCUCGGUGUAGCGGUGAAAUGCGUAGAUAUCGAGAGGAACACCUGCGGCGAAGGCGGGUUGCUGGGCUGAUACUGACGCUGAGGCGCGAAAGCCAGGGGAGCGAACGGGG